UCUCCUCAACCCCAGCAGAGCGGGCUGUUUGCUCAGGUCCACAUUAUACUGCACCGUGUUAUGGGAAAAGUGUUUUCUUUCUUAUUGUAUGCAGUUAUUGUAUGAUUUAUGAGGUAUCUUCUGCAAUAAUAUCUUGUGUUUUUUAUUACUUUUAUUUUAUGUAUUUGACAUUUCACCUAGAUUGUUCAAUUAUUUGUUAACUCAAUAAUUGCAUCGUUCUUAGACAACAGACGCUAUUACCUGCAAGAAUUUUCUGUUUUCAGUCACAGUGCUGCCUUUGCUUUGUUCACAUUCAUGCCUAUGGUCGGUGACACAUUACAAAUAAUGAUUUUGGCUUCUUUCUAGUUGUUUUGUUUAAAGGGACAGCGAAAUACAAAAAAAGGGAUAUUGUGUUUAAGGCCAAAAUGGCCACCUUUUGUGUACAUCCCAAAAUGUUCUAAGUCUUUUUUAAACGCCACAUUCAGGCAAGUGGAUGCAACGGCGUGGCUUGCCAAGCUUAAAAGAGCUCCUGUCAAUCUCUGCUCUCGCUUACGGCCAUACCACCCUGAGCACACCCGAUCUCGUCUGAUCUCGGAAGCUAAGCAGUGUUGGGCCAGGUUAGUACUUGGAUGGGAGACCGCCUGGGAAUACCAGGCGCUGUAAGCUUUUACAUUUCUCCUCAACCCUAGCAGAGCGGGCUGUUUGCUCAGGUCUACAUUAUACUGCACCGUGUUAUGGGAAAAGAGUUUUCUUUCUUAUUCCACGCAGUUAUUGUACGAUUUAUGAGGUAUCUUCUGCAAUUAUUAUCUUGUGUUUUUUAUUACUUGUAUUUUUAUGUAUUUGACACUUCACCUAGCUUGUUCAAUUAUUUGUUAACUCAAUAAUUGCAUCGUUCUUAGACAACAGACGCUAUUACCUGCAAGAAUUUUCUGUUUUCAGUCACAAUGCUGCUUUUGCUUUGUUCACAGUUCAUGCCUAUGGUCGGUGACACAUUACAAGUAAUGACUUUGGCUUCUUUCUAGUUGUUUUGUUUAAAGGGAGAGCGAAAUACAAAAAAGGGAAUAUUGUGUUUAAGGCCAAAAUGGCCACCUUCUGUGUACGUCCCAAAUGUUCUAAGUCCUUAUAAACACCACAUUCAGGCAAGUGGAUGCAACGGCGUGGCUUGCCAAGCUUAAAAGAGCUCCUGUCACUCUCUUCUCUCGCUUACGGCUAUACCACCCUGAGCACGCCCGAUCUCGUCUGAUCUCGGAAACUAAGCAGGGUCGGGCCUGGUUAGUACUUGGAUGGGAGACCGCCUGGGAAUACCAGGUGCUGUAAGCUUUUACAGUUCUCCUCAACCCUAGCAGAGCGGGCUGUUUGCUAAGGUCCACAUUAUACUGCACCGUGUUUUGGGAAAAGUGUUUUCUUUCUUAUUGUAUGCAGUUAUUGUAUGAUUUAUGAGGUUUCUUCUGCAAUAAUAUCUUGUGUUUUUUAUUACUUUUAUUUUAUGUAUUUGACAUUUCACCUAGAUUGUUCAAUUAUUUGUUAACUCAAUGACUGCAUCGUUCUUAGACAACAGACGCUUUUACCUGCAAGAAUUUUCUGUUUUCAGUCACAGUGCUGC
rnacentral:lncRNA from 1 species